GCCCGGGUGGUGGAACCGGUAGACACAAGGGACUUAAAAUCCCUCGGGUAAUCCCGUGCGGGUUCGACUCCCGCCCCGGGCACCA
rnacentral:tRNA from 1 species